CCCAAUCAACUGGCAAUUCAUGCAAGGAAGAUCACGAAAACAAUCCAAUGUGAUUUCCUUAAUUGCCUUGAUUUUUCAUCCAAAGAAAAUCUUGAAAACAAUCCAACAUAAUUUUCUCAAUUGCCUUGAUUUCCCAUGCAAGAAAGAUCAUGAAAACAACCCAACGUGAUUUUCUCAAUUGCCUUGAUGUAUUUCCACUUUUCCUGCC
rnacentral:lncRNA from 1 species